UUGGUUUUCGCUCGAAGAGGAGAACCAGAUCUAGUGUUCGCCAGACGAAAAUGUGAUGGUGGCCAGGGAACAACGUCGGAAUGGUAGGGAACAGAGGUUAAUGGUGACAAAAUUCAGUGGACAACUUCUCACAGUGACAAAACAAUUUUAGAUGAUGGUGGGCAAUGGCAAACAACAUCAAACAACGACAAACAAUGUCGAACAAUUACGAACAACAACUGGGGUUUAGAGACUAGACAAAAACCAGUGUGGGAUCGACCCUUGAGAUUGAAACUCUAAAAUAAUUCUCGAGGCUUGAACGAUCCCUCUCACUCUCACUCUAUAUAUAAGAAAGUUUUGAUACAAAUUACAUGAUAUAUAGAGUAACCCUAGACACAAUAUAAUGAUU
rnacentral:lncRNA from 1 species